UCCUGGUUUCCCAGGCAGUCCCAUUAGAGUGCUUCUUACGAAUUGCAACUAAUGGUAGGGGUUGCGCUCGUUAAAGGACUUAACCCAACAUCUCACGACACGAGCUGACGACAGCCAUGCAGCACCUGUGUAUAUGUCUUGGUUUCCCAAGAACCCCACAUCUCUGUGAGCGUCAUAUACAUGUCAAGCCCAGGUAAGGUUUCUCGCGUAGUGUCGAAUUAAACCACAUGUUCCACCGCUUGUGCGGACCCCCGUCAAUUUCUUUGAGUUUUAAUCUUGCGACCGUACUCCCCAGGCGGAUCACUUAUCGCGUUAGCUUCGAUACAGACCGCGCAGUGCGCAGCCCACAUCUAGUGAUCAUCGUUUACAGCGUGGACUAC
rnacentral:misc_RNA from 1 species